GAGUUUGAUCGUGGCUCAGAGCGAACGCUGGCGGCAGGCCUAAUACAUGCAAGUCGAGCGCCCCUUCGGGGGAGCGGCGGACGGGUGAGUAACGCGUGGGAAUGUGCCCUUUGGUACGGAACAACACAGGGAAACUUGUGCUAAUACCGUAUGUGCCCUUCGGGGGAAAGAUUUAUCGCCAUUGGAGCAGCCCGCGUUGGAUUAGGUAGUUGGUGAGGUAAAGGCUCACCAAGCCUACGAUCCAUAGCUGGUCUGAGAGGAUGAUCAGCCACACUGGGACUGAGACACGGCCCAGACUCCUACGGGAGGCAGCAGUAGGGAAUCUUGCGCAAUGGGCGAAAGCCUGACGCAGCCAUGCCGCGUGAAUGAUGAAGGUCUUAGGACUGUAAAAUUCUUUCACCGGGGAAGAUAAUGACGGUACCCGGAGAAGAAGCCCCGGCUAACUUCGUGCCAGCAGCCGCCGCCGUAAG
rnacentral:rRNA from 1 species